CAGAAAUGAUGAAGGCAUUGAAGACCAGAAUCUGAAAGGAAUUUGAGAUUUUCCAAAUGAAACCAGUGGGACUCUGUGCUUUUCCUGGGGCUUGUGGUUGAUUUCUUCAUUCUGGAGUGCGAAGACCCUCAAAUUCCUAUCCUCUGCUCCAGCUGUGGGCUGCUGGGUCUUAAGUAUGUACUUAAAUGCCUGAAUUAGGACUCUGGAAGACUGAGCAGCAAAAAGAAAAGCAAAUAUUUGAUUUGAUUGAUUUUAAUUCACCUUUGGGAAUGAAGAUUCGGACCAGUUUGGACCCCAUGAAUACAAAAACAGGUGCAGCAAAGGAGUGUGUGGCCAGUGGAAAAUUAUUCCCAUCUUUUUCUGUCUGUGAGAAGGCUACUUAA
rnacentral:lncRNA from 1 species